rnacentral:rRNA from 1 species
GAUGAACGCUGGCGGCGUGCCUAAUACAUGCAAGUCGAGCGAACAGACGAGGAGCUUGCUCCUCUGACGUUAGCGGCGGACGGGUGAGUAACACGUGGAUAACCUACCUAUAAGACUGGGAUAACUUCGGGAAACCGGAGCUAAUACCGGAUAAUAUAUUGAACCGCAUGGUUCAAUAGUGAAAGACGGUUUUGCUGUCACUUAUAGAUGGAUCCGCGCCGCAUUAGCUAGUUGGUAAGGUAACGGCUUACCAAGGCAACGAUGCGUAGCCGACCUGAGAGGGUGAUCGGCCCCCCUGGAACUGGGACACGGUCCAGCCCCCUACGGGAGGCAGCAGUAGGGAAUCUGCCGCAAUGGGCGAAAGCCUGACGGAGCAACGCCGCGUGAGUGAUGAAGGUCUUCGGAUCGUAAAAUUCUGUUAUUAGGGAAGAACAAAUGUGUAAGUAACUAUGCACGUCUUGACGGUACCUAAGCAGAAAGCCACGGCUAACUACGU